CACUUCGGUCCGGAGUUGAUGGGUUAUCAAUAAUUGUUUCGUUUCCUGCUCGCAGGAGACAACUCCCAUCAACACCAACUUGACCGAAAU
rfam:Caenorhabditis briggsae complete genome, chrV